UACGAAGGGGGCUAGCGUUGUUCGGAAUUACUGGGCGUAAAGCGCACGUAGGCGGAAUGUUAAGUCAGGGGUGAAAUCCCGGGGCUCAACCCCGGAACUGCCUUUGAUGCUGGCAUUCUCGAGUCCGGAAGAGGUGAGUGGAAUUCCGAGUGUAGAGGUGAAAUUCGUAGAUAUUCGGAGGAACACCAGUGGCGAAGGCGGCUCACUGGUCCGGUACUGACGCUGAGGUGCGAAAGCGUGGGGAGCAAACAGG
rnacentral:rRNA from 1 species